rnacentral:rRNA from 1 species
UACGGGGGGAGCAAGCGUUGUUCGGAUUUACUGGGCGUAAAGGGCGCGUAGGCGGCCACCGCAAGUCGACUGUGAAAUCUCCGGGCUUAACCCGGAAAGGUCAGCCGAUACUGCGGGGCUAGAGUGCAGAAGGGGCAACUGGAAUUCUCGGUGUAGCGGUGAAAUGCGCAGAUAUCAGGAGGAACACCGGUGGCGAAGGCGGGUCUCUGGGCCGAUAUUGACGCUGAGGAGCGAAAGCGUGGGGAGCGAACAGG